UCUUAGUACGGCGAGUGACAGAGAUUAGCCCAGCACCGAAGCCUGCGCUGUUUAUGCGUAAGGCAAUGUGGUGUUUAGGCUAAGACCUGGGAUUGGUCGUUGGCUCUAGUCCAUUCUUGAAAUGGCUGCUAAACGGGUGAUAGCCCCGUACGAGUCAACGUAGUGCAUACCAGUCCUCAGAUGUCUUAGCCUUGGAGUCGGAUUGCUUGAGAAUGCAGUCCAAAGUUGGUGGUAAACUCCAUCAAAGGCUAAAUACCUGCGUGAGUCCGAUAGCUAACAAGUACCGUGAGGGAAAGUUGAAAAGUACUCUAAAUAGAGAGUAAAUAGUACGUGAAACUACAUGGAGGUUAACCGAACGGAGUCAGACUUCUCGAUUGCUGCAAUUCAGCACAGGUUUUGAAUGUGGUUAGCUUUGCUUUGGAUUUGCCUAUACUCUUUCGUGUGCUUUUAUUACAUUGAACGAGUUCAGGGCAAUGGCUAAUACCUGUGUGAUUUUGUGGUGGUCAGCAGCUCACUCAGUGUCCGUUUCUUGCUUGCUUGAUAAACAUGAUGAGCUUCGAGCAAUCGGAGCAUGUUAUGAUGGCAGAAAGUGGGGUUCCUUCGGGUUCUCCACUUACUUGGCUUCGGCCUGCUUCAGGAUGAGCAAGAUAGCGGUUCACUGGCUGAUUGGCACGAUGAGCAGUGGGUGAAUAGUUGGUAAUGCAUGGUCUCGUCACUGUGAGGGG
rnacentral:rRNA from 1 species